GUGAGGGGCGCGGGGGCUACAAGCGCUGUGGGUCUUGCUGCGCGCCUUGGGUCCUGCCGCACUCUUGUGCUUGCUCUGCCCGGAGCUCUCGAGGUGUUGCGCACACGCCGCCUCUGGCGGGUAGGAAGUACCUGUGGUAUCCUCCUGCCUUUUGCUGUAAUGCCAGAUCCACGCCAGAUGCAAGUCUUCAGUACCACUGAUCUGGAAAAUGUUCCUUCUCGUUUCACAAAGACCAGAAAAGACAGAGAUAAAGAAAUGGAAAGUGCUGCAGUCAAAAUACCAAAGACAAAGGCUGUCCAAUUAGGUCAUGUGCAAAACAACCAGAAUUCCAAAAUGUCUCCUGAAUGUUAUUGAGACAUAGAUUACAUUGGGGUGAGUAUAUCUGAGUUUUUGCAUUUAGAUAGUUUCAAAAUAUGCUUGGAAUGCAGAGCUGUAAUGCAUAUAAAAAUUUUCUGUCCAAAUUAGAAUCUUCUUCAUAGGAAUUUCUGUAUGUUACUUGUUGGAAGUACUCUGAUCACUGUCUGAUAGAGGAUAUUUCCAAGAAAAGUGGUAUAGCCAGAUGCUGUGCUGGGUUCACCUGAGCUUCAGAGGCCAGGAAAGGAGAAUCAGCAGUCUGAGCAGGGCCUAACCAUGACCAAGAAGAUGAGGAGCAGUUCACACCUCCUCUGGCCAAGCCCAGUCAGGGUGUGCUGCCUGAGCUUCCUGUUGAGGGUGAUACUCCAGCAAGAGCUGCCUUUCAAAAUUUGGAAAUUCAACCAGCGUGGACAAAAGUAUCAACAUUUAGGUUUGUCUUUAGUUUUCGUGUUUCAGUAGUUCAGAUUUUACUGAAAAUUCAUUGAGAUCUUCAGCACAUGGAAGAUUAGAAUCAGUAAUAUAGUAUCAUAAUGAAGAGUAAUUAAGGUGUUUCCUGGAUACCAGAAGGCGAUCAAGGAAAGCUCUUGUCUUUUUUUCCCCAAGUCUCAUCUGGUGCUAUCAAGAUUAAAUGAAGCGCAACUCAUGGUUAAUGAAGUUUUUAUUACUCUACUACAAAAAAAUUUUGUCUCUUAAAAUUCUUCCCUUUUGCCUUUCAUACACAGUUUCUGUCCAUACUUUGUCUAUUUUAGUGGAGUCAUAUGCCAUAUUUAGCCCAGAAAAACGAUUUUAGAUUUUACUAAUUUCAAAACAUUGUCAAGUAGACACACUAGUGUGUCUUCUCUAUAUAUUGUCAGCCUGAUUCACAUGGCUGUAAGUUCAUCUAAGACUCUUUCCACUACUGCACAGAAAACAAAUGACCUUUCAGGGAAAUACCUGUCAGUGUUUCAAUCAUUGCUGCUGCUUUUCAGUAAGGACUAUUAAAAAUCUCGAACUUUAUUCUCCUAGAAGUACAGAACAACUGCACUUUAGUCAUUUUAGAUGCUGGAAUCUGGUUUAAAAGGGUGAUUUGUAGCAGUAGGUACUACAGUGAUUAAUGAGAUUCCAGUAGCUUUUCCCUAGCUUCCUGUCUAGGGAAAAAAAAAUAACAAACAAAUAAACAAGAAAACCCACCCCAAACCCAUAAUGGCAGAUUAGUUGUGUGCCUUUUGCUGCUUUUUGUAAAAUGUUAAUAGACUCUAAAGGUUUCAUUUUUGAAUGAGAACCAUUUAAGCAAGAAUUUUAGCAGAUGCAGAGGACAUUCAAGGAACUUGUGAAAAUUCCUUAUGUUCUGCUUUAUAAAAAGUCUGUUACACACAUUUGGCACAAGCUGUGAAUCUAACCUGAUUUCCAAGCAGUUAAACGGUCAAAAAAAAAGCCAUUUCUGUAAUACAGUUAUAUUUUCCCUUUUUUUUUUUUUUCAAGUGCAUAUUAAGACAUCUGAAGAAACAAUAUUGUACUCCUUAAUUUUAGAUGUAGGUAGCAGUCACAAGAGAUUAAAUGCUGUUAUGUAUAACAAAGCAUGAAGAUGACAAGAUGCAUGAACAAGAGGCUUUUUAGCUCAAUCACAUCAUCCAGUACAUAAUGAUUCAGAUUUUGUAUUUCAGACACCAAUGUCACCUUGGGGUUGAAAUCACUUUGGUUGAAUCUGUGUAAGUAUAAAUAAGAUAGUUCCCCACACCCCAAUUACCUUCCUGCUUUAAAAAUAGAAAGGAAAAUGAGUCGUCCUGAGUUUAGAGAUGAGUUAUUUGUGUGUGGUAUUUGUGAUGGAAAAUUCUUUCUAAAGUAAUAAAUGGUCUUCUUUUAUCCUCUCAUACUUAAGGGGACAGGCUGCUUCUAGUGACAGUACUAGACUAGACUGAUCCUGGUCUCUUUUAGGGUGUCAGUACAUGACUAAUACAUACAGUACUAUGUCUUAGAGUCAUUAAUUGUAUAAAGCAGAAUAUUUUUCUGUAGUUUUUCUAUUAAAUUUCUUUAAAGCCACAUGCAGAACAUUACUUCCCAUGUUGUAUUUUAGUUCCAGCAACUCUAAUAUGGAUGAUAUGCUGAUGAGCUUUUGAAAUCCUGAAAAACAUGAAUUUGACAGGGAGCCUAGAUAGGACUUUAAAAAAUAUUACAAAUAAUUUAACUACUAUUACAAAAUUUUUAUAAAUGCUGAAUAAAGGAGUCAAUUAAUAAAUGCAUUAGCCUCUAUUAAUUUAGUUUCUUCACUUCAUUACAGAAGGACACUAUUGAUCCAAAAUUUAUUAGCAGUGUUCUGCUAAGGCCAGCGGAGGGCAGGCUUGAAUUGGAAACUCUUAUUAUUACUGCGGUUACUUGAAGUUAAAAUACCAGAUAGUGUCUCAUCACUUCUCUACUAUUCUAGUUACCCUUGUGCUGGAAAAAAGCUUCUUUGCAGUUGCUGUUUGACAAAAUGAGUGUUUUGCAAAUGUUUAAAUAAAGAUGCUAAUAUGAAAGUGAAUAAGUCAGUGCUGUGUGUUACUCAUGAGGGAUAAUUCACAUUGCUUAAUUCUUAACCACAUGUAUCUUGAAAUGUUUUUUAAAAUCUAGUGAAUAUAAUUAUCCCCAUUUUACAGAUGAAGAAACUGAGAAAUAGAGUGGUAACCUUGCAGAUUACCCAUCUGGGUGGCCUACAGAAACAAGAACAAAAUCCACAUUUCUAAGAUGUAAUCCGGUGCUUUGCACACAUAAACUAUUUUAACUCUUGGAAACAUUAUGGAAAUUAUUUCUAGCAGCCCAAAUUGUGGAGUCUGAAGAGCUUAUACUGAUGAAAUAGCAGGCAACCUGAUAGUCAAGUUGUAGAUCUUAAGAAGAAUAUACUUCCCAAGAAGAUGGGUGGCAGUCAGAUCAAAUGCCUAAAGAUCCACUUUAAAGUAGUAUUUUAUUAUUAAAACAAGUACUUUGCAUUUUUAGGCAUAUUUAUUAUUCAUUAAGUUAGGCUGUAGUCUUUCCAGAAACCUUUAUGAUAGCCUGUGUCUGACUCUUGUUAUGUGUAAUGUGUUAUGGCUUCACAUAUUUUUAAGUGCUGUGUGAAGUUUUGUAAGAAUGUAUUAUAAAAGAGGCCACUUUAAGCUUCUUGGUCAUUUCUCCUUGUACCUUGUGGAACUGUACACCUCACAAAGAAUUGUUACCUCCAAAUUGUCAUCACUUUCCAUGAUUCACAGAGGCCUGAAUAUGCAAUUAUCUCAAAAGGGAAAAGAUUCAUUUGCUCUUCUGCAGAACAUAAACUCUCCUUGAAAUAACCACUAAUUGAAGGCAUUUGUAUACAGGCUCAUAGUAAACCACUGGAUGCCUUAGUUCAAGAAGCAGAGAGAAAGAUAAUAAUUCAAUUAACAAAACCUACUGCUUUGAGAAAUGUGGUUUCCAGUGUCAGAGGUAUUUUAUUAAUCCCUAAUUAUACAUUGCUGGAAACUGCUAACCAUUAUUAGGGGCAAAUAAGUCUGAGGUUUGGGGGUAUGGCUGGGUUUGCCUGCUGUAAGCUUCACAGGUUUACACCUCUACCUUCAUAAUGAUAUUUUCUUUCACUGGUCCUAGAUGGUGUAUAUUUUAUUUGUACCCAACUUUCCCUUUUAAUUGUAAAAUAUGUGUGAAAUGUUCACAAUAUUAGUGAUUUAAAAGCAGUUAGGAUAUUACUGCCUCAGAAACACAUCAUUGUUACUUACAGUGGUGUUUGUUGUGCUGAGCCAGCCCAGCUGAGUUACAGAGGGCAGGGUUAACAUUACAGAUAAUGCAAAAUAACUGUAUUAGAGCAGUAGCUGUUGCUAUAGGCAGAUUGGCCAAAAGCCUGUCCCUGUGCUUCUUUACAAGGAAAAUAAGGGGUGGACGGAUGUACUGUCUGAAUAGAGAACAUGAUGUUGUUGUGUGCCUAUGCCAAAAAAAAAAAAAAAAAGAAAUAGUAUCUUAUUGGGAAAGUAAACUUAGUUUUUAUAUUAAAAAAAAAAAUAUUAUACCGCAUAUAAAAUACGUGUUUGAUCGAGAUCAGUUCAUCUGGUUAUGUUCCUUCAGAAGUGAGAGUUUUAAUGACAGGGGAAAGAUACUUUUACAUCUAUGGAACUUAAAGCCUGCUGCUGUCAAGUGGCCAGGACCCUUAACUGAGUGUUGAAGUGUCCUUCUCUUAGUAAAUCAAAAAUGUUUAUACUUACUGUCCCAAGUAGUAGAAGAACACCAGCAAUUGCUUCCAUGUUUAGAAUUCUGUGGAGUCUGCUACCUGUGAGCAGACUCCACUUUAUUAAAUAAAGUCUCUGGAAUUACUGAUUGCUAACCUCAUUCUUGACAUACUUCAGCCUCCAACAGCCUGCUACAACUUCUGUUACACCUUCUGGGAUUCUAUCUAUAGUGACUGCUUUCUCUCCCCAGUUGGCUCCAAGCCAGAAAUAUAUCCAUUUGCACAAAUGCUACUUAACCUUGUUCACACUGAGGGGAGGCGAGGAGAGUCAUAUUUUUCUCUUUCUCCUUCUCUGGUUGGUGGAUACUUUUAAAUAAAUUCACCAUUUGCCAUAUUUGCCGUGUAAAGAACCUGUGGUUACAAUGCCUUUUCUAAACUACUGUUUGUUUCACUUUAAAUGCACUGACUAAAACUAUUUCUCCAUGGUCAUUUCAUGGGCAUCUUACCGUAACAUGGGAGUCCUUAGCAAACACAUUUAACCAAUUUUCUGAUAAGGUUAUAUUCUUCC